rnacentral:rRNA from 1 species
AAGGCGAGGCCGAAAGGCGUAGUCGAUGGGAAACAGGUUAAUAUUCCUGUACUUGGUGUUACUGCGAAGGGGGGACGGAGAAGGCUAUGUUGGCCGGGCGACGGUUGUCCCGGUUUAAGCGUGUAGGCUGGUUUUCCAGGCAAAUCCGGAAAAUCAAGGCUGAGGCGUGAUGACGAGGCACUACGGUGCUGAAGCAACAAAUGCCCUGCUUCCAGGAAAAGCCUCUAAGCAUCAGGUAACAUCAAAUCGUACCCCAAACCGACACAGGUGGUCAGGUAGAGAAUACCAAGGCGCUUGAGAGAACUCGGGUGAAGGAACUAGGCAAAAUGGUGCCGUAACUUCGGGAGAAGGCACGCUGAUAUGUAGGUGAAGCGACUUGCUCGUGGAGCUGAAAUCAGUCGAAGAUACCAGCUGGCUGCAACUGUUUAUUAAAAACACAGCACUGUGCAAACACGAAAGUGGACGUAUACGGUGUGACGCCUGCCCGGUGCCGGAAGGUUAAUUGAUGGGGUCAGCGCAAGCGAAGCUCUUGAUCGAAGCCCCGGUAAACGGCGGCCGUAACUAUAACGGUCCUAAGGUAGCGAAAUUCCUUGUCGGGUAAGUUCCGACCUGCACGAAUGGCGUAAUGAUGGCCAGGCUGUCUCCACCCGAGACUCAGUGAAAUUGAACUCGCUGUGAAGAUGCAGUGUACCCGCGGCAAGACGGAAAGACCCCGUGAACCUUUACUAUAGCUUGACACUGAACAUUGAGCCUUGAUGUGUAGGAUAGGUGGGAGGCUUUGAAGUGUGGACGCCAGUCUGCAUGGAGCCGGCCUUGAAAUACCACCCUUUAAUGUUUGAUGUUCUAACGUUGACCCGUGAUCCGGGUUGCGGACAGUGUCUGGUGGGUAGUUUGACUGGGGCGGUCUCCUCCUAAAGAGUAACGGAGGAGCACGAAGGUUGGCUAAUCCUGGUCGGACAUCAGGAGGUUAGUGCAAUGGCAUAAGCCAGCUUGACUGCGAGCGUGACGGCGCGAGCAGGUGCGAAAGCAGGUCAUAGUGAUCCGGUGGUUCUGAAUGGAAGGGCCAUCGCUCAACGGAUAAAAGGUACUCCGGGGAUAACAGGCUGAUACCGCCCAAGAGUUCAUAUCGACGGCGGUGUUUGGCACCUCGAUGUCGGCUCAUCACAUCCUGGGGCUGAAGUAGGUCCCAAGGGUAUGGCUGUUCGCCAUUUAAAGUGGUACGCGAGCUGGGUUUAGAACGUCGUGAGACAGUUCGGUCCCUAUCUGCCGUGGGCGCUGGAGAACUGAGGGGGGCUGCUCCUAGUACGAG